GUGCCAAGCAACAAGAUCUCAGUGACAGAGAGGCAAGUGUUUCUAGCUGGUAUCAGAAAUUAAGGGGCUGUUGGAGGGGAACACUCUGAACCGGAGCCUGCUGAAAAUACCCGGCGCUGUCUGCUUUUAGGGCUGCCGGCUCCUGACUCAGGCCACUGUUGUUAGUCUCCCCUGGCUCCCUCCAAACACCACCUGCCCCUGGGCUUCUGAGCUCACACAAACCACUGUCCCUGCCGCCCUCACCUGCUCAGUGCCUCCGGUGGCCAAGAAUUCCACAUGAAUGGUUUACGAUGUUGGUGAAAUGUUCUCUAUGAUACCACAAAAUGUCUUCUUAAAACCAACCAAAUAAUGUUGAUCAGUGAAUUUCCUUCUUCAAUGACCUCUGUGGACAGAAGAGUUUGAGGCACAUGAACAAGGAAUGCGCAAGAUUAUUGGGAUCUGGAAGGUACUUUGUGAACACAUGAGGCUGCGCACCUGUACUCUAUGAUGGUGGUUGACAUUGGUGGUGGGAAGAUUUCAACUUUUCUCUAAUUUAAGAAGAUUUAAAUAAAGACUUCCUGGUUGAUAUCUUGGAAUCCUGGCAGCUUCUGAGCAACAGUUUUCCCAAGACUCUGAGGCAGUAGUUACAUCUUUUAAGAAUCCAGUUAGUAAUUUUAUCCUGGAUACAUUUUAUUCUGGAGACAUUUCCAUUUUAAACAGUUUAUGCAAUUAUACACACACAUACACACACGUGUAUAUACGAACACACAUAGGGCCAUGUGUAAAAGACAUUUUCCCUAUAAACUCUUUUCAUCUUAUUCAUAAACUAAGACUGAGUACUAUCGAGGAGCAGAUAGUUGUCUAAAAAUCUAUUAAGGAAGAACUUUGGAUUUAAGGGAAAUAUUAUUCAUUGAACCCUCAGACAUUCUCAAGCUAGAAUUUACCCUUAAGCAUAAGGAAUGGAGAAAUUUAUUACCACCAGUUUUUAUCUUUACUUGUUUUUUUACUCUGUCCUAUGUAAGAAAAACCAAUUGAAUUAAUGUGGUGUUGGUGUUAUUUUCAUGUUCUAGUAAGCUUAAUUUAAAAACAUCACUUAUGUUCCUCUUCUUUUAUACUAUGUUUCUGAGUUGCUCAUGUACAAUAUAUCUAUGUUGUGAUUUCUCAGUUUCUUCAUGGAAUGUGCUAUUUUAGUUCUAGAUAUCUGAUCAUAUUUAAAUGACUUAGUCUUUUCUGGUCAAAUAGUAACUUUCCCCCCCCCUCCUUCAAUAUUCUGCAGGGGAAUUAAGCAGAUUCUCAUAGGUAGAAAUGUUUAAAUGUGUCUUCAGAACACUCAUGGGAAAAACAGAAUAGCUCUGUCAUGUUUUUAGCAGCAAAACACUUAAAAGAAAUAGUUCUCCAACAAAAUUUGUUAUGAAGCCCACUAGAGAUAAUCCAUCCUAAAUUACUCACUGCAUAAUACAUUCUUAUAAAAAAGAGCAAAACAUGGCAGGAAGGUAAGAUAAAGAACUAUCUCUGAAACACAUUAAGUCCUGAUAUAUAUUAACAACUAUCAGUCAGUUUCUAACUUGCACUUUCAAAUUAUAAAAGGAAAUUUGUUUGAUAUGCUUUCUAUCUUAUAUUUGGAAAACUUAAAAUAAUGUUAGAAUAGGUUAGAUUUAGAAUAGGUUUUUGUUUCCUAGUUUGAAGAAAUACAGUAAAAUCUUGGGUUUGCGAGCAUAAUUCAUGCUUGUAAUCCAAAGCACUUGUAUAUCAAAGCAAAUUUCCCCAUAAGAAAUACUGGAAACUUAGAUGAUUUGUUCCACAACCCAAAAAUAUUCAUAAAAAAAUGAUUACAAUACUGUAAUAUAACACAAAAUAAUAAAUAAAAUACAAAAUAUAAAGAAAAAUAAACAA